GCCUGCUUAGCUCAGCGGUAGAGCAGCUGUUUUGUAAACAGCAGGUCGUCAGUUCAAAUCUGACAGCAGGCU
rnacentral:tRNA from 1 species